GGUGCGCGGCUACAAUGCAGUCGAGCGGAAGAUGGGAGCUUGCUCCCUGAUGUUCGCGGCGGACGGGUGAGUAACACGUGGGUAACCUGCCUGUAAGACUGGGAUAACUCCGGGAAACCGGGGCUAAUACCGGAUGGUUGUUUGAACCGCAUGAUUCAGACAUAAAAGGUGGCUUCGGCUACCACUUACAGAUGGACCCGCGGCGCAUUAGCUAGUUGGUGAGGUAACGGCUCACCAAGGCCACGAUGCGUAGCCGACCUGAGAGGGUGAUCGGCCACACUGGGACUGAGACACGGCCCAAACUCCUACGGGAGGCAGCAGUAGGGAAUCUUCCGCAAUGGACGAAACUCUGACGGAGCAACGCCGCGUGAGUGAUGAAGGUUUUCGGAUCGUAAAGCUCUGUUGUUAGGGAAGAACAAGUGCCGUUCAAAUGGGGCGGCACCUUGACGGUACCUAACCAGAAAGCCACGGCUAACUACGUGCCAGCAGCCGCGGUAAUACGUAGGUGGCAAGCGUUGUCCGGAAUUAUUGGGCGUAAAGGGCUCGCAGGCGGUUUCUUAAGUCUGAUGUGAAAGCCCCCGGCUCAACCGGGGAGGGUCAUUGGAAACUGGGGAACUUGAGUGCAGAAGAGGAGAGUGGAAUUCCACGUGUAGCGGUGAAAUGCGUAGAGAUGUGGAGGAACACCAGUGGCUAAGGCGACUCUCUGGUCUGUAACUGACGCUGAGGAGCGAAAGCGUGGGGAGCGAACAGGAUUAGAUACCCUGGUAGUCCACGCCGUAAACGAUGAGUGCUACGUGUUAGGGGGUUUCCGCCCCCUUAGUGCUGCAGCUAACGCACUAGGCGCUCCGCCUGGGGAGUACAGACACAAGACUGAAUCUCAAAGGAAUUUGACGGGGCCCGCACAUGUGGUGAAUCAUGUGGUUUAAUUCGAAGCCACGCCAAGACCUUACCA
rnacentral:rRNA from 1 species